rnacentral:rRNA from 1 species
CACGUAGGGUGCGAGCGUUGUCCGGAAUUAUUGGGCGUAAAGAGCUCGUAGGCGGUUUGUCGCGUCUGCCGUGAAAAUUCGAGGCUCAACCUCGAACUUGCGGUGGGUACGGGCAGACUAGAGUGUGGUAGGGGAGACUGGAAUUCCUGGUGUAGCGGUGAAAUGCGCAGAUAUCAGGAGGAACACCGAUGGCGAAGGCAGGUCUCUGGGCCGAUACUGACGCUGAGGAGCGAAAGCGUGGGGAGCGAACAGG